UACGUAGGGUCCAAGCGUUGUCCGGAUUUAUUGGGCGUAAAGAGCUCGUAGGCGGCUCAGUAAGUCGGAUGUGAAAACUCGGGGCUCAACCCCGAGACGCCAUCCGAUACUGCUGUGGCUUGAGUCUGGUAGGGGAACACGGAAUUCCUGGUGUAGCGGUGAAAUGCGCAGAUAUCAGGAGGAAUACCGAUGGCGAAGGCAGGUCUCUGGGCUGACACUGACGCUCAUGCACGAAAGCGUGGGGAGCAAACAGG
rnacentral:rRNA from 1 species